rnacentral:rRNA from 1 species
UACGUAGGGUGCGAGCGUUGUCCGGAAUUAUUGGGCGUAAAGAGCUUGUAGGCGGUUUGUCGCGUCUGCUGUGAAAAUCCGGGGCUCAACCCCGGACUUGCAGUGGGUACGGGCAGACUAGAGUGUGGUAGGGGAGACUGGAAUUCCUGGUGUAGCGGUGGAAUGCGCAGAUAUCAGGAGGAACACCGAUGGCGAAGGCAGGUCUCUGGGCCACUACUGACGUGAGAAGCGAAAGCGUGGGGAGCAAACAGG